CCGGGGCGCGCCCCGGGCGGGGCGGGGGCACGGGGGGAACGCGAAGAACCUUACCUGGUCUUGACAUCCAGAGAACUUAGCAGAGAUGCUUUGGUGCCUUCGGGAACUCUGAGACAGGUGCUGCAUGGCUGUCGUCAGCUCGUGUUGUGAAAUGUUGGGUUAAGUCCCGCAACGAGCGCAACCCUUAUCCUUUGUUGCCAGCGGUUCGGCCGGGAACUCAAAGGAGACUGCCGGUGAUAAACCGGAGGAAGGUGGGGAUGACGUCAAGUCAUCAUGGCCCUUACGGCCAGGGCUACACACGUGCUACAAUGGCGCAUACAAAGAGAAGCGACCUCGCGAGAGCAAGCGGACCUCAUAAAGUGCGUCGUAGUCCGGAUUGGAGUCUGCAACUCGACUCCAUGAAGUCGGAAUCGCUAGUAAUCGUAGAUCAGAAUGCUACGGUGAAUACGUUCCCGG
rnacentral:rRNA from 1 species